AACGAGCGCUGGCGGCAUGCCUAACACAUGCAAGUCGAACGAGACCUUCGGGUCUAGUGGCGCACGGGUGCGUAACGCGUGGGAACCUGCCCUUAGGUUCGGAAUAACUCCCCGAAAGGGGUGCUAAUACCGGAUAAUGUCUUCGGACCAAAGAUUUAUCGCCUUUGGAUGGGCCCGCGUUGGAUUAGCUAGUUGGUAGGGUAAAAGCCUACCAAGGCGACGAUCCAUAGCUGGUCUGAGAGGAUGAUCAGCCACACUGGGACUGAGACACGGCCCAGACUCCUACGGGAGGCAGCAGUGGGGAAUAUUGGACAAUGGGCGAAAGCCUGAUCCAGCAAUGCCGCGUGAGUGAUGAAGGCCUUAGGGUUGUAAAGCUCUUUUACCCGGGAUGAUAAUGACAGUACCGUGAGAAUAAGCUCCGGCUAACUCCGUG
rnacentral:rRNA from 1 species